UACGUAGGUGGCAAGCGUUGUCCGGAUUUACUGGGCGUAAAGAGCGCGCAGGCGGUCGUCAAGUCGCGUGUGAAAGCCCCCGGCUCAACUGGGGAGGGUCACGCGAUACUGAUCGACUCGAAGGCAGGAGAGGGUAGUGGAAUUCCCGGUGUAGUGGUGAAAUGCGUAGAUAUCGGGAGGAACACCAGUGGCGAAGGCGAC
rnacentral:rRNA from 1 species